AUCGCUUCUCGGCCUUUUGGCUAAGAUCAAGUGUAGUAUCUGUUCUUAUCAGAUCUUCGAGAAUCAAAGAAAGAUGGCGAUGGCGUCGGCUAGUUUUA
rnacentral:snRNA from 1 species